rnacentral:rRNA from 1 species
GACGAACGCUGGCGGCGUGCUUAACACAUGCAAGUCGAACGGAAAGGCCCUGCUUUUGUGGGUUGCUCUAGUGGCGAACGGGUGCGUAACACGUGAGUAACCUGCCCUUGACUUUGGGAUAACUUCAGGAAACUGGGGCUAAUACCGGAUAGGAGCUCCUCCUGCCUGGUGGGGGUUUGAAAGUUUCGGCGGUUUGGGAUGGACUCGCGGCUUAUCCGCUUGUUUGUGGGGUAGUGGCUUACCAAGGCUUUGACGGGUAGCCGGCCUGAGGGGGUUACCGGCCAAAGUGGGACAGAGAUACGGCCCAGACUCCUACGGAAGGCAGCAGUGGGGAAGAGUGCACAAUGGGCGGAAGCCGGAUGCAGCAACGCCGCGUGCGGGAUGACGGCCUGCGGGUUGUAAACCGCUUUCGCCUGUGACGAAGAGUGAGUGACGGUAAUGGGUAAAGAAGCACCGGCUAACUACGUG